rnacentral:rRNA from 1 species
GUUAGACGAAGAAUCCAUAUAGAAUGAAUGUUUACAUUAGUUAACGUUCAAUUUUUGAAGUUUCUUUAGCUUUUUUGUUGGGUGAAAUCAGUAUAAGAAGCUCUUUCUUCUUUAAAAAUUAGUAGGAACUAAAAAACUUUGAUUUAAAACCAGGAUUAGAUACCCUGUUAUUCUCAGUUAUUCUUAAACAGGGUAGUAAAAGUUGUUCUUCAAACCCAAAGAUUUUGGCGGCACUUUAUCCAAAUAGAGGAGCUUGUCCCUUAAUCGAUAGUCCUCGUUUUAUCUUUCCUUCAUUUGUAAAGCUUGUAUACCGCCGUUGUCAGAUUACUUUUAGAGAAUGUUUUCAAGUUAAAAGACUUUAUAACUUCAGGUCAAGGUGCAGUUUAUAUGGGGGUGGAGGUGAGCUACAGUUUUCUUUAGAAAAUACGGAUUCUAAGCUUUGAAGCUAGCUGAAGGUGGAUUUACUAGUAAAGUAAUUUAAGUAAAAUUACUUGAAUAAGGCAAUAAAGUGUGUACAUAUCGCCCGUCACUCUCUUCUUAAGAGGAGAUAAGUC